AGCGAACGCUGGCGGCAGGCUUAACACAUGCAAGUCGAGCGGGCCCUUCGGGGUCAGCGGCGGACGGGUGAGUAACGCGUGGGAACGUGCCUUCUGGUUCGGAAUAACCCUGGGAAACUAGGGCUAAUACCGGAUACGCCCUUUUGGGGAAAGGUUUACUGCCGGAAGAUCGGCCCGCGUCUGAUUAGCUAGUUGGUGGGGUAACGGCCUACCAAGGCGACGAUCAGUAGCUGGUCUGAGAGGAUGAUCAGCCACACUGGGACUGAGACACGGCCCAGACUCCUACGGGAGGCAGCAGUGGGGAAUAUUGGACAAUGGGCGCAAGCCUGAUCCAGCCAUGCCGCGUGAGUGAUGAAGGCCUUAGGGUUGUAAAGCUCUUUUAUCCGGGACGAUAAUGACGGUACCGGAGGAAUAAGCCCCGGCUAACUUCGUGCCAGCAGCCGCGGUAAUACGAAGGGGGCUAGCGUUGCUCGGAAUCACUGGGCGUAAAGGGCGCGUAGGCGGCGUUUUAAGUCGGGGGUGAAAGCCUGUGGCUCAACCACAGAAUGGCCUUCGAUACUGGGACGCUUGAGUAUGGUAGAGGUUGGUGGAACUGCGAGUGUAGAGGUGAAAUUCGUAGAUAUUCGCAGGAACACCGGUGGCGAAGGCGGCCAACUGGACCAUUAC
rnacentral:rRNA from 1 species